GCCUUGAUGGUGAAAUGGUAGACACGUAAGAUUCAAAAUCUUGUGCUGUAUAGCGUGGAGGUUCGAAUCCUCUUCAAGGCA
rnacentral:tRNA from 1 species